GAUUUGAGAUUCCAUCCAAGAUCAAGCUACACCCAGAAGCAUGGACUCCAGAAUCCGGUCUCGUGACUGCUGCACUGAAGCUAAAGAGGGAAAACAUCCGAAAGACUUUUGCCGACGAUCUCACCCAGCUGUACGCGUGAAGCUAAAGUGAAUUACAAGUUUGGGCUUUCGCAAGCAAUGUAGCCAAUGCACUCAAAUCUUGUGUUCCAUUUGGAUGUGAUAUUUGUUGGCUUCAUAUUUCG
rnacentral:misc_RNA from 1 species